rnacentral:rRNA from 1 species
ACGGGAAUCUCCGCAUUAGCAAUAGUGUGGAGGUUUCAGUGGCGAAAGGGUGAGUAACACGUGGGCAAUCUGCCCUCCUGUGGGGGACAACCUCGAGAAAUCGAGGCUAAUACCGCAUGUGGUUAAGGGUCUAAUGAUCUGAAAACCAAAGCUGGGGAUCCGCAAGGACCUGGCGCAGGAGGAGGAGCCCGCGUCCUAUCAGCUAGUUGGUGAGGUUACGGCUCACCAAGGCUUACGGGUAGCUGGUCUGAGAGGACGACCAGCCACACUGGGACUGAGACACGGCCCAGACACCUACGGGUGGCAGCAGUCGAGAAUUUUUCUCAAUGGGCGAAAGCCUGAAGGAGCGACGCCGCGUGGGGGAUGAAGGACUUCGGUUCGUAAACCCCUGUCACCCGGGAACAAACCUCCGAGUUUAAUAUGCUCGGAGCUGAUUGUACCGGGAGAGGAAGGCACGGCUAACUCUGUGCCAGCAGCCGCGGUAAUACAGAGGUGCCAAGCGUUGUUCGGAUUUACUGGGCGUAAAGGGUGCGUAGGCGGUCGCGUAAGUCGGACGUGAAAUCCCGGGGCCUAACCCCGGAACGGCGUUCGAAACUGCGUGGCUAGAGGUCUGGAGAGGUGACUGGAAUUCUCGGUGUAGCAGUGAAAUGCGUAGAUAUCGAGAGGAACGCCAGAGGCGAAAGCGAGUCACUGGACAGAACCUGACGCUGAGGCACGAAAGCUAGGGGAGCAAACGGGAUUAGAUACCCCGGUAGUCCUAGCUGUAAACGGUGCGCAUUUGAGGUGGGGGGGAUUCGACCCCCUUCGUCUCGCAGCAAACGCGUUAAAUGCGCCGCCUGGGGAGUACGGUCGCAAGAUUAAAACUCAAAGAAAUUGACGGGGGCCCGCACAAGCGGUGGAGCAUGUGGCUUAAUUCGAUGCAACGCGAAGAACCUUACCUGGCCUUGACAUGCAAGUAGUAGGAGGAUGAAGUCCAACGAUCCCGCAGGGAAGCUUGCACAGGUGCUGCAUGGCUGUCGUCAGCUCGUGCCGUGAGGU